rnacentral:rRNA from 1 species
AAAUUGAAGAGUUUGAUCAUGGCUCAGAUUGAACGCUGGCGGCAGGCCUAACACAUGCAAGUCGAACGGUAACAGGAAGCAGCUUGCUGCUUUGCUGACGAGUGGCGGACGGGUGAGUAAUGUCUGGGAAACUGCCUGAUGGAGGGGGAUAACUACUGGAAACGGUGGCUAAUACCGCAUAAUGUCGCAAGACCAAAGAGGGGGACCUUCGGGCCUCUUGCCAUCAGAUGUGCCCAGAUGGGAUUAGCUGGUUGGUGAGGUAACGGCUCACCAAGGCGACGAUCCCUAGCUGGUCUGAGAGGAUGACCAGCC